GAGUUUGAUCCUGGCUCAGGACGAACGCUGGCGGCGUGCCUAAUGCAUGCAAGUCGAGCGACGAAUAGGUGCGGGUAACCAAACCUAUUACGGAGCGGCGAACGGGUGAGUAACACGUGAGCAACCUGCCCCGCAGACCGGGGUAGCCCAGGGAAACUUGGAUUAAUACCGGAUAUUCUCCUUUAACCRCAUGAUUGUUGGAGGAAAUGCUUUUGCGCUACGGGAUGGGCUUACGGGCUAUCUCGUGAUGGUGGGGUAACGGCCUACCAAUGCGACGACCUUAGCUGGUCUGAGAGGACGAUCAGCCACACUGGGACUGAGACA
rnacentral:rRNA from 1 species